CAUGUUAUAGUUCUUAGCAAGCAGGUGUCUUCUUGAGGAUACAUUCAGCAAUCAAUAACAUUGGUUGGAAAUGAGUGUUUUUCCAUGACACCAAAACCAAAUUUUGGAAAAUUCUUUCAGAUUUUUCACAGAUUGUUUGAAUUUAAUCCAUUGCUCACAUUUUAUGAUGGGGAAACCAAGGCCCAGAAAAGGAAAGUGAUUUGCCCGGACCAUAUAGUAGGUAAUACUAAGAACUUGAAGAGCUAGGAUUCUGAUAUGGAUCAGCCUGACUUCAAAGCCUCACUCUUCCAUGUAUCAAGCCACACAAUCAGAAAAUGCCCAGCCAACCCAACCACAUAAAUCCAAGGAUGCCUAUAAGCCUCAGCUUUGUGAAUCAGCUCUGCCUCUCAGUUAUCCUCAGCACCCUUCUUCUGGAAUAUGUUUUUAACUGUAGAGAACAUAAGAGCAAACUUUCCAGCAAUGGGAGGACUCUUCACAUUCAACUCUAGUUAAAUCAGCAACAUUAAACCUCGUUUCCCUGUGGGAAUGCUGCAGUUACUAGCAACUUGCCCCAGACAGAGCACUGUAGAGCAGAGCUGGGGCGCUUAACCCUGAGCCUUCCCAGGGAGGUCAAGUCAUGAUGAUCAGUUCCA